UGAACGCUGGCGGCAUGCUUUACACAUGCAAGUCGAACGGCAGCGCAGGGGGCAACCCUGGUGGCGAGUGGCGAACGGGUGAGUAAUGCAUCGGAACGUAUCCUUAAGUGGGGGAUAACGCACCGGAAAGGGGUGCUAAUACCGCAUAAUCUCUGAGGAGAAAAGCAGGGGAUCGCAAGACCUUGCGCUUUUGGAGCGGCCGAUGUCUGAUUAGCUAGUUGUCGAGGUAAAGGCUUACCAAGGCGACGAUCAGUAGCUGGUCUGAGAGGACGACCAGUCACACUGGGACUGAGACACGGCCAGACUCCUAUGGUAGGCAGCAGUGGGGAAUUUUGGACAAUGGGGGAAACCUUGAUCCAGCCAUGCCGCGUGAGUGAAGAAGGCCUUCGGGUUGUAAAGCUCUUUCAGCCGGAACGAAACGGUUACGGAUAAUACCCGUGACUACUGACGCGCCGGAUGAAGAACACCGCUAACUACGUGCCAGCAGCCCGCUGUAAUACGUAGGGAAGCAAGCGUUAAUCGGAAUUACUGGGCGUAAAGGUGCGCAAGCGGUUUUGUAAGUCAGAGUAAAUCCCCGGGCUUACCCUGGACCUGCGUUUGAACCUACAAGGCUAGAGUGUAGCAGAGGGGGGUGGAAUUCCACGUGUAGCAGUGAAAUGCGUAGAGAUGUGGAGGAACACCGAUGCGAAGCCAGCCCCUGGGUUACACUGACGCUCAGGCCGAAAGCGUGGGGAGCAACCAGGAUUAGAUACCCUGGUAGCCCCGCCCUAAACUAUGUCAACUAGUUGUCGCCCUUAACGGGUUUGGUACGCACUUACGCGUAAGUUGCCGCUUGGGAGUCGGUCGCAAGAUUAAACUCAAAGGAAUUGCGGGGCCCGCACAAGCGGUGGAUUAUGUGGAUUAAUUCGAUGCAACGCGAAAAACCUUACCUACCCUUGACAUGUACCGAAGCCGCUGAGAGGUGGGUGUGCCGAAAGGGACGGUAACACAGGUGCUGCAUGGCUGUCGUCAGCUCGUGUCGUGAGAUGUUGGGUUAAGUCCCGCAACGAGCGCAACCCUUGUCAUUAAUUGCCAUCAUUCAGUUGGGCACUUUAAUGAGACUGCCGGUGACAAACCGGAGGAAGGUGGGGAUGACGUCAAGUCCUCAUGGCCCUUAUGGGUAGGGCUUCACACGUAAUACAAUGGCGCGUACAGAGGGUUGCCAACCCGCGAGGGGGAGCUAAUCUCAGAAAGCGCGUCGUAGUCCGGAUCGGAGUCUGCAACUCGACUCCGUGAAGUCGGAAUCGCUAGUAAUCGCGGAUCAGCAUGUCGCGGUGAAUACGUUCCCGGGUCUUGUACACACCGCCCGUCACAACCAUGGGAGUGGGUUUCACCAGAAGCAGGUAGUCAUAACCGCAAGGAGGGCGCUUGCCACGGUAG
rnacentral:rRNA from 1 species